AGAUGAAGCCAAGCAGCCUCGCACUCUUCGCUACAGCUAUCAUCCUUUGCCUCAGCAUGGUGCAGCCUAAACUAAAGAAUCAAAAAGAUGCGCUGUGAGGAGCCAUGGAUAGCCGAAACUGAAAUGGAAACCCUGCCUUAGCCAAGCCUGAGAAGAUGCAGUGCUGUUGGCUCCGACUUGGAUAACUGAGCUCAAGUUCUUCUGUCUCAUAGACCCCCCCCUUUCAUUGCUAAGUUAAGUGUUUAUUAAUAUUAAAGCAAAACAAGCAAAUAAAUUCCUAUUGAAUAACUA